AACGAACGCUGGCGGCAGGCCUAACACAUGCAAGUCGAGCGAACAGAUGAAGUGCUUGCACUUCUGACGUUAGCGGCGAACGGGUGAGUAACACGUAAGGAAUCUACCUAUAAGCGGGGGAUAACAUUCGGAAACGGGUGCUAAUACCGCAUAAUAUCUUCUUCCGCAUGGAAGAAGAUUGAAAGACGGCUCUGCUGUCACUUAUAGAUGACCUUGCGGUGCAUUAGUUAGUUGGUGGGGUAAUGGCCUACCAAGACGAUGAUGCAUAGCCGACCUGAGAGGGUGAGCGGCCACAUUGGGACUGAGACACGGCCCAAACUCCUACGGGAGGCAGCAGUAGGGAAUCUUCCGCAAUGGGCGAAAGCCUGACGGAGCAAUGCCGCGUGAGUGAAGAAGGCCUUCGGGUCGUAAAACUCUGUUAUAAGAGAAGAACAAAUUGUAGAGUAACUGCUACAGUCUUGACGGUAUCUUAUCAGAAAGCCACGGCUAACUACGUGCCAGCAGCCGCGGUAA
rnacentral:rRNA from 1 species